rnacentral:rRNA from 1 species
AGAGUUUGAUCCUGGCUCAGGAUGAACGCUGGCGGCAUGCCUAACACAUGCAAGUCGAACGGGGUUUAUAUAACAGAACUCUUCGGAGGGAAGAUAUAUAAACCUAGUGGCGGACGGGUGAGUAACGCGUGGGCAACCUGCCCUGUACCGGGGGACAACAGCCAGAAAUGGCUGCUAAUACCGCAUAAGCCUGCGGUGCCGCAUGGCACAGCAGGGAAAACCACGGUGGUACAGGAUGGGCCCGCGUCUGAUUAGUUAGUUGGCAGGGUAACGGCCUACCAAGACGAUGAUCAGUAGCCGGCUUGAGAGAGUGGACGGCCACAUUGGGACUGAGACACGGCCCAGACUCCUGCGGGAGGCAGCAGUGGGGAAUAUUGCACAAUGGGGGGAACCCUGAUGCAGCAAUGCCGCGUGGGUGAAGAAGCACUCCGGUGCGUAAAGCCCUGUCAGCAGGGAAGAAAAUGACAGUACCUGACCAAGAAGCCCCGGCUAACUACGUGCCAGCAGCCGCGGUAAUACGUAGGGGGCAAGCGUUA